rnacentral:rRNA from 1 species
GCAUGGUUGUCGUCAGCUCGUGUCGUGAGAUGUUGGGUUAAGUCCCGCAACGAGCGCAACCCUUGUCUUUAGUUGCCAUCAUUAAGUUGGGCACUCUAGAGAGACUGCCAGGGAUAACCUGGAGGAAGGUGGGGAUGACGUCAAAUCAUCAUGCCCCUUAUGCUUAGGGCUACACACGUGCUACAAUGGGUAGUACAGAGGGUUGCCAAGCCGUAAGGUGGAGCUAAUCCCUUAAAGCUACUCUCAGUUCGGAUUGUAGGCUGAAACUCGCCUACAUGAAGCUGGAGUUACUAGUAAUCGCAGAUCAGAAUGCUGCGGUGAAUGCGUUCCCGGGUCUUGUACACACCGCCCGUCACACCACGGGAGUUGGAGACGCCCGAAGCCGAUUAUCUAACCUUUUGGAAGAAGUCGUCGAAGGUGGAAUCAAUAACUGGGGUGAAGUCGUAACAAGGUAGCCGUAUCGGAAGGUGCGGCUGGAUC